UGGUGAGCACCGAUUGGCUCGUCCCUUCUGUCGGUGAUGCGCUCCUGGCCUUAACUGGCCUGGUCGUGCCUCCGGCGCUGUUACUUUUUAGAAAUUAGAGUGCCCAAAGCAAAGCCAUG